rnacentral:tRNA from 1 species
GCAGCUCAGUGGUAAAGCACUUGCCUAGAAUGCAUGAAGUUCUGGGUUCGAUCCCUGCCACUGCA